rnacentral:rRNA from 1 species
GAUGAACGCUGGCGGCGUGCCUAAUACAUGCAAGUCGAGCGAACAGACGAGGAGCUUGCUCCUCUGACGUUAGCGGCGGACGGGUGAGUAACACGUGGAUAACCUACCUAUAAGACUGGGAUAACUUCGGGAAACCGGAGCUAAUACCGGAUAAUAUAUUGAACCGCAUGGUUCAAUAGUGAAAGACGGUUUUGCUGUCACUUAUAGAUGGAUCCGCGCCGCAUUAGCUAGUUGGUAAGGUAACGGCUUACCAAGGCAACGAUGCGUAGCCGACCUGAGAGGGUGAUCGGCCACACUGGAACUGAGACACGGUCCAGACGCCUACGGGAGGCAGCAGUAGGGAAUCUUCCGCAAUGGGCGAAAGCCUGACGGAGCAACGCCGCGUGAGUGAUGAAGGUCUUCGGAUCGUAAAACUCUGCUAUUAGGGAAGAACAAAUGUGUAAGUAACUAUGCACGUCUUGACGGUACCGAAUCAGAAAGCCACGGCUAACUACGUG